rnacentral:rRNA from 1 species
ACGGGUGAGUAACGCGUGGGAACGUACCUUUUGGUUCGGAACAACACAGGGAAACUUGUGCUAAUACCGGAUAAGCCCUUACGGGGAAAGAUUUAUCGCCGAAAGAUCGGCCCGCGUCUGAUUAGCUAGUUGGUGAGGUAACGGCUCACCAAGGCGACGAUCAGUAGCUGGUCUGAGAGGAUGAUCAGCCACAUUGGGACUGAGACACGGCCCAAACUCCUACGGGAGGCAGCAGUGGGGAAUAUUGGACAAUGGGCGCAAGCCUGAUCCAGCCAUGCCGCGUGAGUGAUGAAGGCCCUAGGGUUGUAAAGCUCUUUUGUGCGGGAAGAUAAUGACGGUACCGCAAGAAUAAGCCCCGGCUAACUUCGUGCCAGCAGCCGCGGUAAUACGAAGGGGGCUAGCGUUGCUCGGAAUCACUGGGCGUAAAGGGUGCGUAGGCGGGUCUUUAAGUCAGGGGUGAAAUCCUGGAGCUCAACUCCAGAACUGCCUUUGAUACUGAGGAUCUUGAGUUCGGGAGAGGUGAGUGGAACUGCGAGUGUAGAGGUGAAAUUCGUAGA